AUGGCUUGGGUUCUUCUGCUCCUCACCAUCCUCUCUUCCUUAGGAGCCAGCAUCCAGCAGCUGCAGAGCUUGAAAGAUCCAGAUUUUGUAGCUCCAGGAGGGACCAUCAUCAUGUCCUGUAGAUAUGAUGGAGGGACCAUCACUGACAACAAUUACCCACGAUGGAUCCAGCAGAAGGCAGGGCAGGUCCCAAGGCUCUUGAUACACAGAACCAGCAGCAGGCCCUCAAGUGUCCCAGCCCGUUUCAUGGGCUCCAGGUCAGGGGAUACCAUGUCUCUGACUAUCACAGGGGCCUUGGUGGAAGACGAGGCCACUUAUUACUGUUUAGUUUGGACAGGGAAUGGGUGCCCGGUGAUCGAUAGGGAAGUGAGACCAAAUGUCUCCUCUCUUCUUUACAGCGAGGAAGGCGCUGAUCCCUCCCAGAACACCUGA